rnacentral:lncRNA from 1 species
AAAUUAAGUCAUUGCUUAUACUUUGUGAUGGGAGAAAUAUUGGACACCUCAACCUUAGAUGGACCGAUCUCAACAACCUCGGCCCCGAUUGAGAAGUGCAACUUGGAUUCCGACAGAGGAGCCAACCGAAGUGAUGGGAGAAAUAUUGGACACCUCAAUUUCAGACGGACUGACCUCGACAACCUCAGCCUCGAGUGAGAAAAGCAACUUCGGUCCCGACUGAGGAGAUAACUGACCGAAGUGAGCAACUUUGCCUCCGACCAAGGAGCCUAUUCGAUGUGUAUCGAUAAGGAUUGACAAUCUUAACAACCGGCCUUGGCAGCUUGUAGUCGUGGCGACAUCGCAGUCUACGCCCAACUAGUGCUGCACAUCGCUCAUGCGGACUGACUCCACAUCGCCACCGUAAUACUGCAGCUAAG